rnacentral:rRNA from 1 species
UGCAGUCGAGUGCGCAGUUCCCUGUAGCAAUACAGGGGAUGGGCGCACGGCGCACGGGUGCGUAACACGUGGGUAACCUGCCCUCCGAUGGGGGAUAACCCCGCGAAAGCGGGGCUAAUACCGCAUAACAUUCCGUUGAUUUCGAUUGACGGACUCAAAGCCCGCAAGGGCGUCGAAGGAGGGGCCCGCGCCCGAUUAGCUAGUUGGUGAGGUAAUGGCUCACCAAGGCGAUGAUCGGUAGCCGGUCUGAGAGGACGAUCGGCCACACUGGAACUGAGACACGGUCCAGACUCCUACGGGAGGCAGCAGUGGGGAAUCUUGCGCAAUGGGCGAAAGCCUGACGCAGCGACGCCGCGUGGGGGAUGAAGCCCUUCGGGGUGUAAACCCCUUUCGACCCGGACGAAUCGCCCGCAAGGGAAUUGACGGUACGGGUAGAAGAAGCCCCGGCUAACUACGUGCCAGCAGCCGCGGUAAAACGUAGGGGGCCAGCGUUGCUCGGAAUUACUGGGCGUAAAGGGUUCGUAGGCGGUGCGGCAAGUCGGAAGUGAAAUCUCAGGGCUUAACUCUGAGGCUGCUCCCGAAACUGCCGUGCUCGAGUGCGGGAGAGGCGAGUGGAAUUGCAGGUGUAGCGGUGAAAUGCGUAGAUAUCUGCAGGAACACCAGUGACGAAGGCGGCUCGCUGGACCGCAACUGACGCUGAGGAACGAAAGCUAGGGGAGCAAACAGGAUUAGAUACCCUGGUAGUCCUAGCCCUAAACGAUCAGGACUUGGGGUGCAUCUCGUUCGGGGUGCGUCCCGGAGCUAACGCGUUAAGUCCUGCGCCUGGGGAGUACGG